AUUGAACGCUGGCGGCAGGCCUAACACAUGCAAGUCGAACGAGUGGCGGACGGGUGAGUAAUGUCUGGGAAACUGCCUGAUGGAGGGGGAUCACUACUGGAAACGGUAGCUAAUACCGCAUACCAUCAGAUGUGCCCAGAUGGGAGUAGCUUGUUGGGGGGGUAACGGCUCAGCAGGGCGAAGAUCCCGAGCUGGUCUGAGAGGAGGAACAGCCACACUGGAACUGAGACACGGUCCAGACUCCUACGUGAGGCAGCAGUGGGGAAUAUUGCACAAUGGGCGCAAGCCUGAUGCAGCCAUGCCGCGUGUAUGAAGAAGGCCUUCGGGUUGUAAAGUACUUUCAGCGGGGAGGUGUUACCCGCAGAGGAAGCACCGGCUAACUCCGUGCCAGCCGCCGCGGUAAUCC
rnacentral:rRNA from 1 species